rnacentral:rRNA from 1 species
GAUGAACGCUAGCUACAGGCUUAACACAUGCAAGUCGAGGGGUAACAAGAGAAGAGCUUGCUUUUCUUGUUGACGACCGGCGCACGGGUGAGUAACGCGUAUCCAACCUGCCUAUAACUAGGGAAUAACCUUGCGAAAGUAAGACUAAUACCCUAUGAUUUCCUUUGAUGACAUCAGAUUAGGAAUAAAGAUUUAUCGGUUAUAGAUGGGGAUGCGUCUGAUUAGCUUGUUGGCGGGGUAACGGCCCACCAAGGCAACGAUCAGUAGGGGUUCUGAGAGGAAGGUCCCCCACAUUGGAACUGAGACACGGUCCAAACUCCUACGUGAGGCAGCAGUGAGGAAUAUUGGUCAAUGGGCGGAAGCCUGAACCAGCCAAGUAGCGUGCAGGAUGACGGCCCUAUGGGUUGUAAACUGCUUUUAUACAGGAAUAAAGUUAGCCACGUGUGGUUAUUUGUAGGUACUGUAUGAAUAAGGACCGGCUAAUUCCGUGCCAGCCGCCGCCGUAACAC